CAAAACAUGGAAGAAAAAAAAUGUCGCGAGUCACGCCGGCUCUGCUUGUGCCGCCCUUCUCGCGCCGCCGCGGUCUCUCUCUCUCUCCACAUGAGGCAGUGCACCAGGUGGGCACCUGCACUGGCCGCUCUCCGACGCGGUGGCGCACCAGUGCCUCCGGAAUUUGGCCAUGGCCGGAUCCAGGGCGGCGGCGGCUAUGCCCUCCCCUGUGCUAGGCGCACCUCCCUCUCAGGGCGGCAGCAGCUAUCCCCUCCUUUGUGCGAGGCGCCCCCCCUCUCUCUGUCCCUAUGCUCUAUCGACAUGGUGGUACAACAGCCGGCGGUGGCCACGGCCACGAGCCCUCUCCUCCUCCCCCGAUAUGGCUCAAUGCGGAUGGGUCUCGACCAUGCCGUUGCCAGCGCAGGGCAGAAGUAUGGCCUGGAAAGCAGCUCGUCCUCAUCUUCAUGCCUCUUCCUUUGUCCCACUAUGGUUGUGCAUAGGGCUCAAUACUGCCACAUUUGGUAUAGAGCAGCCUCAGGUCCAUUACAAUUUUGAAUGUUGAUUGAUUUGCAGUAGAGGGCACGCCAUCACUACUGCUUGCCAACUUAUCUGACCACAAAGUGGUGGUAACAUAUUUCCCUUGUCAGUAGAGCAGCGAUGUUCAACUCCAGUAACAUUCUGCAUAUGUUCAACUCCAGUAACAUUUUGGAUAGGCAGACUACUCUGAGCAGCAGAAAUUUUGCAGGCCUUUAAAAGACCAUGUUGGUUUGGAAAGACAAAUGUCACUGGGAAUUAAUGUUAUUUAUCUCACCAUUUCCUCUGAAUUAUAUAGGCGCUGCAGUUGUAUUUUCAUGACAUGUUUAUGGCAUACUCAUAAUUGAGCCAGCUGAGAUCAAGGUAAACAUAUGUAACUUUUCUCUUACCGAUCGACAUGGAAGACAUGUAGGAUGUAGUCCAGAACAGCUUCACAGUUGUUGCUUACAUGAUUUUUUGUGGUCAUACAUUGCUCCAUAAACUGCCUUUUGCUGUAUUAUAAGUCUAGAUGGGUUAAUUUGUGUUUGUUUAUUUUCAGAUAAAAAUGAUUGCAGGUUUAUACACAAAAAAUUGAUGGCUUCAUUUGUAUUUGCGCACCCAGCCAAAAAUGGUCACAUGUUUAGUUUAAUGAAAUUUUGGGAUGGUUGUUGUAGGUUUGGCUCUCAACUUUUUCUUUUUUUUUUGUUUCUGCCUAUACAAUCUGCUACAUGCCAGCCUUCUUUUCCAGAAGUCCCUUUCCAAUCUUAUUUUUUUACUGCUCCCACUGACCUUUACAGUAUGCCGUCUAAUGAAAAUAGUGGGAACCAAAAAGUGUUAGUGGACAAAAAUUAGUAUGUACACUUUGCAGGUUAUCAGCUUCCUUCAUGCCUUAUUUGUACUAAUGUUUGCUUUCAUCACAAAGUGUACAUACUAAUUUUUGAUAUUUCAGCCUCAUGAUGCUUAAACCUAAUCAGAAUGUUAUUAUUUUUUUCCAGUUGAGUAUCCACGCCUAGCUCAGAUAGAAAGACGGAUACAAGAUCUUGAAUCUACUCUCCCACUUGACAAUGGUUUGGAAAAAGUAGCAUCAUAUAUGUUGAGGUGACAAAGCAUCAUAUAUGUACAUGGAAUCCCUUGAAGGCUUUUUGUUGCACAAAAAAAAUCAAUCCACUCAACCUAUACGCAUCCUGUUCAUAGCAUGUUCUCCCUGUUUUCGUUAGAAACAACGAUCUUGGUUCUUCGACAAUAAGGCAUCAUAUGUGUAACAAUGAUCUUGGUUCUGACCUAUCUAUCCUUAUUUUCUAAAGCUUAUGUUUAGAUUUCAACUAUUAUAAGCUAUGAAUUUUCAGUUAACAUUGAUCUUCUAUGGGUUCAAUUUUAAAUUUGUGUUCCAAUUAUUUUCUUAUAUUUUUCAGCCCUAAAAUAUACACAUCUUGGCUCGAACAGCCCUGAACUCCCAUCGCCAACAACUAACUGUGCUUGCUUGUGCUAAUUCUGGCUCUUUGUCGAUGAUGUGGUCAUUCCAGUCAGGGUUUUUUUUUAGGUUCUCCUGCAGGUUGUGGUCAUUUAAUGUCUCUCUACUUCCAUUUGUCAUGUACCUUUUUAAGCCUUAUAUAUCCCCUUCCAGUUUCAGUUUUCAUUUGCUUUUGAAAUGGAAUGUCUAUAGUUUGCAUAGAUGCAACUUCACAUUGGUUGAUGUUAUUUCCUCAAUUCGUUCCAUGAAUUUCAGCUAACAUUGAUCUUCUAUGGGUUCAAUUUUAAAUUUAUGUUCCAAUUAUUUUCUUAUAUUUUUCAGCCCUAAAAUAUACACAUCUCGGUUCGAACAGCCCUGAACUCCCAUCGCCAACAACUAAAUUGUGCUUGCUUGUGCUAAUUCUGGCUCUUUGUCGAUGAUGUGGUCAUUCGAGUCAGGAUUUUUUUAGGUUCUCCUGCAGGUUGUGGUCAUUUAAUGUUUCUCUACUUCCAUUUGUCAUGUACCUUUUUAAGCCUUCUAUAUCCCCUUCCAAUUUCAGUUUUCAUUUGCUUUUGAAAUGGAAUGUCUAUAGUUUACAUAGAUGCAACCUUACAUUGGUUGAUGUUAUUUCCUCAUUUUGUUCCUAUGUACAACAAAGAAAAAGGUGAAGAAGGCAGUCACAUUUACUAUACAUAGUAGAUCAAGAAAAUAGUUGCACACCUCUUGCUGAAGUUCAUGGAGGCAUCGGCCACAAGAGUGUCGUCCUUCUCAGGCAACAGAUGAUGCUUCCUGUCAAUCGCUAAUUGGGUUUGCACAACUGUCGUGUUGUUGACUGAUAAGGACCUUGUCAACUAGACCAUCAAAGCAGACUUGGUGGAUAUCCACGUGAGUACAAGCAUUAGCUUCUAUAUGUUGUUUCACCACACACACACACACACACACACACACACACACACACACACACACACACAAAGCAGUGUAGGUGACCCAACAUGAUUGGCAACUAUUUCUAUUGCUAAGUAGCAUAAAUUUGAAGCCUGAAUCAAUUACUAAUUAUCUUGUUUCAUACAACAGUAGCCUUCCUCAUUGCCAUAACCUGAUUAUAAAAUCUAAAAUGCCACAAUAGCUCAGUUUUCAUACUUCCAUCAAUGAUAAGUAGCUUUGUUGGUUCAGAGAUAGUCACUGUGAUUGUGAGCAAAUUUCAUAUAUGAGGCAGCUAGCCACCCAGCAACAAAUCACCAUUACGUUGUGUCUUAGCAAGGUUACUCAUGAUGUGCGUGCGCCCAAGUUCUAUGAUGUAAUGGUUUUGAUUGUCCUACUCUAGCACACCAUAAGCCACCAAUAUCGCUGAUUCGCUGUUGUAUGCCUCAGACUCUGUUUCAACCAGAUUGUAAAUAUAUAUAUCAAUGAAAGCAUAUGUUACCCAUGCGAAUAACUAUGGCUAUGAUAUAUAUAUAUAUAUACCUUAACUCAAUGAAUCUCAACAAGUACUUACAUCCUCGCGCGCAGGGGCGCGCGUUUGCCACUAGUAUACACAAUACAAUUUGGAACACGACGGCGUGCAGCCAGCCGUGCCACGAUAGCAAAAAAAAUUUCCACCCUUGGAUCCAGUAUUUACGACGGCGUGCAGCCAGCCGUGCCACGAUAGCAAAAAAAAUUUCCACCCUUGGAUCCAGUAUUUACGGUCUAUAUUUACUCCCAGUGAUCUGAUGUGUAGAGCCUUCUCGCCUUCUCCCGACCCAGCACAUCGUUAAAAAAAAAAGUCCGGCCUCUCCCCUCCUACCUCUUUCCUCGUCACUCCCUCGCCUCCUCCCUCCACGCGGGCACAGCGACGGCGGCGGCCGCCCUCCUCCUCUUCCUCCUCCCCCCUCGCAUCGCAGCAUGCUGGACAGGCCAGCACGCCGGCCCACCGCCCGAGGCGCUGCCAGGGCGCGACGGCACCCCCUGGCUGUGGCGCGGCGCCAUACGUGGGCCUCGGCGGUGGCCGUCACCAGUCAUGGCCGCCGCCUCGUUCUUCUCCUCCACUCGCGUCCCGGUGUAUCGGCCUCUCUACGUCCUCGCCCGUGACCUCGUCGUAUGUGCUGCUCGGGGCGGCUGGGCGCCGGUUCUUCGUCUUCGUCAACGGUGACGCCAGCCUCUGCUCGGCCUCUGGCUCUGGCGGCGGCCAUCAUCAGGCCUUCGCUGGCGGCGAGCACCCACCAGGUACGCACAUCCCUUCUCUUCCCUGCUUGUUGUGCAGCACCCAGCACUCAAACCCUAGCUUAAUCCAUUCGUAUUAGAAUCUGAUCUGGCUACAAUCUUUGUUACCUGGUAAGUGUGCAGUUGUGGUAGAUUUGCCUGGUGAUUAUGAUUCCCUUUUUUUCUCCACAGAUUAUUGCCAUGUUUAUUUUUCCCUAUAAAUUUGAGCCUUAUUUUCUAAAUGUUUCAUGCUAAUCAAACAACGGCGUCGACGCUGGCAAGGCCAACUGGAUCAGCAGCUCAGGGAAAAACACAUGAUGAACUCCCCCAUGCUGACCAUGUAGCAAACCUAGAAGCUCGGCCUGAAGCUAUGCGAGAACGCUUUUGCUUACUCACUAUCUUUAGUUUUUUUUCAUCUAGGUUAACUAACGAGUCACUAAUAUGAAAUUAACUAAUGGUUUCUGUAUUUUUUCCGCCAGAAUACCUUAAGUCUACUCUAUUUUACCUCUGAUUCGUACAUUAUUGUCGAAGACUACCAACAGGGAGCUGCCUGGAUAAUCUAUCAAAACAAUGCAUGGCCUAGCAGUUUUCUUGCAGUAAUGUUAAGAUUUUCAGACACAAAAAUGAAAGAGUAUGCAGACAAGGCUGAAGAACUUGGUGCAAUGCUUGCUACCGAAGUGUGAAUUAAGUCCCUUUACAAAGAAGUAAUUACUUCUCCAUCUAAACCGCAUUGGAGUGCUUCUUACCCUACCAGUGCAGUAUUAGUUAUAUGGACCUCGUGGAGUGAACCAGUUGUUCAGUCCACAGUAUAACACGUGCCGGUUUAGAUAAAUAAUAAAUCCGCUGGAAAAUGGAAAAGGCCAUUGGGCCCAAUUCGGCCCAAGGCCGAGCGGCGAUGCGGGCAGAGGCCCAUAACGUGGCCUGAGCAGCGGCUGGACCGUGGGUUCAUUUCUGAAGAAUUGGAGGGUUUUUUUGCAAAAAUAUAUGAGAGAGGGAAGUGGACUGCGGGUUGAUUCGUAUAAAGUUGGAGGGCUUUUUUGCAAAACGACCAAGGAGAGCACGAUCUCGCCCGUUCAUGAGCCCGAUCCGACGGCCGAGAAAGGUGCCUAUCUUAUUCUGGUCGUCUUUCUAUUUUUUGCAUUAUUUGGCUUAACAACUAUUUUAUCGAACGGAAAGCUAAAAGGCACAAGACUCACAUGGAUUCAGUCUUCAGCCAAAACCUAGAGCUCAGACGUCUACUUCAACAAAGAAAACAAAAUAGGGUGCACCACCAUCUUAAACUUGGGUCAUCUUCUUUACAGAAUGACAAGCAGCACCUACUCAUGAACUAAUGUUUGUAGAAUAUUGCCUCUGUUAUUUUCUCAAGUAGAAUUGAUAGAAUUAGCCAUCAACCCGCUUCAUACUAAACUUGCAUAACAACUUUAUCACACACUUGACGAUGUUUUCUUUGCCUAUUAAACUCUCCCGUCUUAAUGCAGUGGCACCUCCUAUCGUUGUUUAUAGUGUAUCAAAACUUUGUUGCAAACUUUGUUGUUCUAUAUAUAUCUAUCAACUUCCAAUACCUUC